ACAAAACAAUGAUAAAAAGGUUAAUAUCCUCACUGGUUUACAAACAUAUUCACUACUGACAGUGUUCAUUUUGUAGCUCCCUAUCUCAAAUGUAAGUCCACCCUAACAUUAUUUCAGCAGUACAUGCUGGGUUUAAUUAAGAUGAGAAUUAAUUUGUACAUAACAGAUGA